rnacentral:misc_RNA from 1 species
UGGCUCAAAAAUGGAAAUUAAAUUGAAGAAAAUGAAUGAAAAGGAAGACAAACAACAUAUAGAGGCUGUGUUCAAGACAUUUAAACCUUUAGCAUCCAGCUGCUUUCAUGAAUUUGUCAUAGGGGCAUGAAGGUGGUAAUCUGAAAGAACUAUGUCCGUACUCAACUGAGCAGAGGGCAAGUUGGUCAGGUGCUCGGAUUUGAUUCUUGUUGUUUAACUUUGAGUCACUUUGUAAAAACUUCACUUUCUCAUUAAAUGCUGAAGCGCUUUUCUUUUCAUCUCCAGUGGGGAAAAUCUUGGCAUCAUGUAUUUGCUUAAAACUUUGAAGCAUUGACAUCUUCUGUUGUUUACCUGUCACAAGAGCUUCACACUGACUCUUCAUUUGGUCAUAAGGUACAGGUGUGGAGGAAAUCUGGGAGCUUGCAACUUGAUGUGCAGUUUCCAAGACUGAUUCCAAAAGUUCAUUGACACUUAGAAUGUCUAAUGAAUUGAAAGUGAUGUUUUGCGGUCUGACAGAUUCCCGUUAGCUUCAGUGACGCUUUCAUCAUCUGUCAAGGAAGCUGCAGGCAUGAUCUCUUCAAUAGCCUGAAACUCUAUUUGGGCAAGAGGAGAACAUGGCCUUGGUGUCUCCAUAAACAAGGGAGCUCCCAAUGGAUAUGCAUCAUCUGGAGAAAAUUCCUGAUGAAGUUGUUCCUUUAUGCCUGAUAAAUCAUCCUCUGUCAAUUUUGCAAUUUUGUCACGAAUUGGGAUAUCAAGGUUUCCUUCAAAAGGUGGUUAUCUAAUUCAACCGCUGAGAGAGAUUUUGACGCAGCAACUUCAUCUUCCUCUGAUCCAUAUACCAUCUUCCCUCCAUCAUAUUUUAAAUAAACAGUCUGCAGCCUGAUGUCUUCCACCGACUCAAGAUAAGGAUCAGCUGUUUUUUCUGUCAGAGAUGCUUUAACUAUACGAAUUAGCUCAGGGAGAUUCCCUGCCUUUGCAGAAAAAAUAAGCAUGUAUGAUGCCAAGGUGAAGAGAGA